UUAGCCUUUAUCCCACCUUGUCUCCAUGUCUCAUUGUCCUUGCCUUGCCUUGCCUUUGUUUUGACCCUGGACUGUUUUCCUUGUUUGAUGAUCGCUUGCUGCCUACCUUGACCAUUGCCUGUGUUUGGUAAAGGGGAAUGUAUCACUCCUGCAGGAUUUAUUAUGUACUUAUAGGAUUCCUGUAGGAGGAUGUUGGCUACCCACAGCCUUUCAGGAAAAAUUGGAAAUGCCAACAAAGAAUCCCAACCCAAGCCUCCUUUGGACCCCACAAAAGUGGAACUCAUUAUAGACACUGUUCUGAAGAAAUUUCCGUCAACUCCACGAAAGUUUAUUUGGGCUGCUUUACGAGAAAAAAUGAAUGAUGAACAUAAACUCCUCACCAGGCAGCAUAAGAAGGACACUUUUACACUGUAACAUUGAGUGGUGAAGUACAUAUAAGAGAGGCCAGAGUUAUCGGUUUCUCCAGAGUGAAGGGCCACUUUCUGUUCAGAGUUCAUUUUCUUCACACUUAUAAUAAAUAAUUAACAAUUAACAUCUUCUGAAGUUGUUUUUAAUUUUUUGUUGGUAUUUAAAUUUGAGACACACAACAUUGCUUUUUUGAAAGUGAUUUUUUAUACAUCAGGGCCUGCAUCCCUUCAGCCGUCCAACAGGAUGAGUAUACAUAAUAGUUCAUUAGAAUUCCUGCACAAGUCCUAUAGGAACUGAUACUAUUGCAC